rnacentral:misc_RNA from 1 species
GCUUGCGCAUCGACAAUGUCUCAUGCAUUCCAUUUCAGUUGUUGCCUCANGUUUNACUNGGUCGUUGCGUGUUUCCUGUGCUAAAUACCUAACAUGAAGGCAUUCCAUUUGAUGCGAAACUAUAUCCACCUUUCGAUGCCCCCCAAGAGGAGKGCGUUUUGUUGGUGGACGUCAAAUCAUGCAUUGUGUUUCACAUCCUUCGCAUGCUUGUUCAUGCUUNGGGUUGUUGACCCACGAUGUUAUGUUUGAUNUCUUGGAUAUGGAAAAUUGAGAGGGU